UAGUAACGGCGAGUGAAGAGGGAAAAGCUCAAAUUUUGAAUCUGGUGUCUUUGGCGCCCGAGUUGUAAUCUAGAGAAGUGUUUUCUGCCUCGGACCACACAUAAAUUCCCUGGAAUGGGGUGUCAUAGAGGGUGAGAAUCCCGUUUGUGGUGUGGACUACCUUGGCUCUGUGAUACACUCUCAACGAGUCGAGUUGUUUGGGAAUGCAGCUCAAAAUGGGUGGUAAAUUCCAUCUAAAGCUAAAUAUUGGCGAGAGACCGAUAGCGAACAAGUACCGUGAGGGAAAGAUGAAAAGCACUUUGGAAAGAGAGUGAAACAGUACGUGAAAUUGUUGAAAGGGAAGCGUUUGAAGUCAGUCACAUCGGUCGGAAUUCAGCCUGGCUUUGCCUGGUGUACUUUUUGGCAGAUGGGUCAGCGUCAAUUUUGACUGAGGGAAAAAGACUUGAGGAAUGUGGCUGUCUUCGGGCAGUGUUAUAGCCUCUUGUUGUAUGUCUCAGUUGGGAUUGAGGACCGCAGCACGCCUUAUGGGCCGGGGUUCGCGCCCUUCGGAACGUGCUUAAGG
rnacentral:rRNA from 1 species